CCUACGGGCGGCAGCAGUGAGGAAUAUUGGACAAUGGCCGUAAGGCUGAACCAGCCAAGUCGCGUGAAGGAAGAAGGAUCUCUGGUUUGUAAACUUCUUUUAUAGGGGAAUAAAGGUAUCUACGUGUGGAUAUUUGCAUGUACCCUUAGAAUAAGCAUGGGCUAACUCUGGGCCAGCAGCCGCGGUAAUACGGAGGGAGCGAGCGUUAGCCGGAUUUAUUGGGUUUAAAGGGUGCGUAGGUUGUUUGUUAAGUCAGACGUGAAAGUUUGUGGCUCAACCAUAAAAUUGCCGUUGAAACUGGAAAACUUGAGUAUGUGAGAGGUAGGCGGAAUGCGUAGUGUAGCGGUGAAAUGCGUAGAUAUCAGGAAGAACUCCGAUUGCGAAGGCAGCUUACUAAACCAUAACUGACACUGAGGCACGAAAGCGUGGGGAGCAAACAGGAUUAGAUACCCCAGUAGUC
rnacentral:rRNA from 1 species